GCGGGGCGGGCAGCUCCAGGCAAGGCCCCCAGCCACCACAGCCUCGGGCAACGUGGCCUCAGCUCUCUGUCCAGCACCCCCUCCCGACCCCCACCGCGGGCCCAGCAGCCCUGGGAAGCCUCCCCAGACCCCAACAGGCCAAGGGCCCGUCCAGCCCUGUGGUCUGCCUGCGGGGCCACCACGCACGAGGCAAACGCUCUCCUCCAACCCUCAGCCUAACUGAGGCUCCCAGAGGCCUCCUUACGGCCACUGCCGCAGCGGGGGUACUUGUGCGUGCGUGGGAGGGACGUCUCAAGACCCAGAGAGAGCUCUGCAAACACAGACCAGCUCUGGGCCUGGCUCCUCCUGCCUGCGUCUUCCUGCUCCCACCCCAUAAAGGCCCUACCUCAGGUGCCCAGGGGCACCUCCUAUGUGGUUCUCAGGGACCGCCCACUACGAGGACGGUGCCUGCGCCCUCCCCACAGGCAGCCCCGAGCCCGGCCCUGGGGAGGGGCCCCGGGGGUCCUCCCGGCAGCAGGUGAAUCAGUGUGGAGACGGCCGGCGUGGGGCUGCCCCGCCUGCUUCCCAAGGUCUUGGCCUGACAGCUGCCCGUGGGUGCCCGGCUGCUUGGGGAACCUCGGGCCUGGGGCAGGGCCUGCUAGGGUGGCAGGGUGAGCUGGUAUCUCUUUCUCAAUCCUCUUCCUUCCCCAGAGCGGGCCCAGCUGCCGCUGACCACAGCGCUUCAGCAUCCUGCUCACAUUCUCAAGAGGACAGAUGGCUGUGGUCUAGGAGAGCUCGCGUUCUUCCUGGCAGAACUCCCCAGGCCAGUGCCAGGAACCUCAGGACGGCUGGGGAGCUCAGGGAGGGACUCCGUUCCUUGCUCCAAUUUUAUACAAGUGGACGCCAGGGCUAGUGGAACUGAGGCCCCAGGAGGGCCAGAACCGGGGUCUGCAGCCAUCCUGGGGCUCUCCCUCACCCUGCCCCCAGGUUGGGGACACCUCCUCUGCAGUGCAGCUUAGGGUCUGGAGCCAGAUGAGAUGGGGUCCAGGGUUUCCCACCCCCACCCCCAAGCAGCUCCCCUGUGAGGCCAGGAGCCGGCAGGGGAUGCCCCAGUCCUGGUGCACGCCAGGCAGCAAAGUGUUGGGCUGGGGUCCCUCAGAGUUGGGGGGAUUCCAGAGAAGUCAGGAGGUAGGGGUUAGGGGAGGACUUGUGGGAUAAGGGGCGCAUGGGGUGCAGGGCAGCACCCACAAGCUCCCAAGACAGGGCGGGGUACAUGGUGGUUACCCCUCCCACUGGAGACUGAGGCUCUCCCUGCAGGCGCUGUGGGCUCCGACAACAGCUGGGUGGGCCAGCAGGGAGGCCGUGGGGGCCGGGCAUGGACCGCGGGGGCCCUGGGCCCCUCUACCGCAUCCAGCUCACGGCACGGAUCCCGCCCAGCUUCUGACGGGAUGGCUGCCCUGCACUCCUAGCAGCUUCAAGCCUCUCAUCUUGUGUGGAGGGACGGGGGCACGGCCACUCCAUCUCUGCCCACGAGGGUCAAACCCGCCCGGGAAUCACGGACCUGCCGGCCGGGUCCCCGCCCCCAGCCUGGCAGCUGCCUGGCCAUCAGGGGACCCAGCAGCUCGGUGCCAGCUGCUUGCACCCCUGGGAAAAAGGUCUUCCUUUCCUGACUUCAAACAGGAGGGGAGGAAGCAGCUGGAGUGAGGGAGGAGGGGGCAGGGUGAGUCUCCAGGGUCACCUCCCUCCCCUGCACCUGUCCACGCAGGGCUCCCAGAUCUGGUGUUCUGGAUCCUUCUCCACCACUCUCCUACAGGGCCCCAUCUGGGUAGGAGGGGCGCACUGGCUGUCUAGGACUCAAAGACCAGGUCUCCCUGUGGCUCGUGGCUCAGGGGGGCUCAGCCUGACCCCAGCCUUGGUCCCAGUGUAUGUCUCCAGGGAGGAACAGCCACAGAAAAAGGAACGCCUUCCACUUAGGACGGGGGGCCCCUGAUCCCUCGCCUCAGUCUCCCCGUGUGAACCCCUGCGGGGACCUCCGCAUCCAGGCGGCUGGAGUGGUGACUGUGGAGGACACAGGAGCUGGAGCCCAGAGCCAGGGGCUGUGGUGGAAACGCAGAGGGGCCCCAGCAAGAUCCCCGCACCGCCGCCCGCUGUGAUGCGAUCGGGAGCUUCACCGCCCAGCGGCACAGGGCUCUCGGGGUGACGGAGCACCCGCGUCUCUGACACCCAGCAGGAGCUAAACACGCCCGGCCUGCAGCUGGCCGGGCUGCAGGCCUGCUCUACCAGGGACUUCCCUCCUCUGCGGCAGGCCCACAGGGGCAUUGCAGGGCACGGGCACUCAGGUGGGGCCCUGUCCUUCACCAGGAACAGACGGAGCACGGAAAAGCAGACAGGGAGCACGGUGACCAGUGCACAGGCUGAGCGUCUCACUUAACUUCCCCGAGGACUCCCGGAGUCAGAACCGCUUUCCCUCUGUUUCCCGAGGAAGGAGCUCAAGUCCAGAGAUGCACUUAAGACGUGACAAGGGCAGGCUGCUGCUCCACGCUGGGAAACCCGCCCUCCUCAUCUGCCUGCUGGGAGGAGCCGUGCCGCUGGGAGAAGGCCCCCCAGGGAGGUCUUCCCCAGGGCUGGCUCAGCGCCCGGCUGUGGGGGAGCCCACCCUGGUCCCAGCUCUCAGGGCGGUCACCGUCCGCCUGGAGACUCGGGGCUGGGCCCGCCCUCCCUCUGCAGGCUCCAGCAGGCAAGACACCCACACCCCACCCAGCGGCCUGGGACGGGCGUGCUUGGCAGUGGGCCGCCCCUACCCUGGGCUCAACCAGUAGACAAUAAACAUCUGAUUCAU